rnacentral:rRNA from 1 species
GACGAACGCUGGCGGCGUGCUUAACACAUGCAAGUCGAACGGAAAGGCCCUGCUUUUGUGGGGUGCUCGAGUGGCGAACGGGUGAGUAACACGUGAGUAACCUGCCCUUGACUUUGGGAUAACUUCAGGAAACUGGGGCUAAUACCGGAUAGGAGCUCCUGCUGCAUGGUGGGGGUUGGAAAGUUUCGGCGGUUGGGGAUGGACUCGCGGCUUAUCAGCUUGUUGGUGGGGUAGUGGCUUACCCAGGCUUUGACGGGUAGCCGGCCUGGGAGGGUGACCGGCCACAUUGGGACUGAGAGACGGCCCAGACUCCUACGGGAGGCAGCAGUGGGGAAUAUUGCACAAUGGGCGGAAGCCUGAUGCAGCAACGCCGCGUGCGGGAUGACGGCCUUCGGGUUGUAAACCGCUGUCGCCUGUGACGAAGCGUGAGUGACGGUAAUGGGUAAAGAAGCACCGGCUAACUACGUG